rnacentral:rRNA from 1 species
UACGUAGGGUGCGAGCGUUAAUCGGAAUUACUGGGCGUAAAGCGUGCGCAGGCGGUCUGUUAAGACCGAUGUGAAAUCCCCGGGCUUAACCUGGGAACUGCAUUGGUGACUGGCAGGCUUUGAGUGUGGCAGAGGGAGGUAGAAUUCCACGUGUAGCAGUGAAAUGCGUAGAGAUGUGGAGGAAUACCGAUGGCGAAGGCAGCCUCCUGGGCCAACACUGACGCUGAGUGAGCGAAAGCCAGGGGAGCAAACGGG